GACGAACGCUGGCGGCGUGCCUAAUACAUGCAAGUCGAACGCAGUGGGGACGGGUGAGUAACCCGUGGGUAACCUCCCAUCAGAGGGGAUAACACUUGGAAACAGGUGCUAAACCGAUACUGAUGGAUGGACCCGCGGUGCAUUAGCUAGUGGGUGAGGUAACGGCCCACCAAGGCCACGAUGCAUAGCCGGUCUGAGAGGGUGAUCAGCCACACUGGGACUGAGACACGGCCCAGACUCCUACGGGAGGCAGCAGUGGGGAAUUUUGGACAAUGGACGAAAGCCUGACCGAGCAACGCCGCGUGAGUGAAGAAGGUUUUCGGAUCGUAAAGCUCUGUUGUUAGGGAAGCGGUAUCUACCCAGGAAGCCACGGCUAACUCCGUGCCAGCAGCCGCGGUAAUUC
rnacentral:rRNA from 1 species